GACGAACGCUGGCGGCAUGCUUAACACAUGCAAGUCGAACGGAAAGGCCCUGCUUUUGUGGGGUGCUCGAGUGGCGAGCGGGUGAGUAACACGUGAGUAACCUGCCCUUGACUUUGGGAUAACUUCAGGAAACUGGGGCUAAUACCGGAUAGGAGCUCCUGCUGCAUGGUGGGGGUUGGAAAGUUUCGGCGGUUGGGGAUGGACUCGCGGCUUAUCAGCUUGUUGGUGGGGUAGUGGCUUACCAAGGCUUUGACGGGUAGCCGGCCUGAGAGGGUGACCGGCCACAUUGGGACUGAGAUACGGCCCAGACUCCUACGGGAGGCAGCAGUGGGGAAUAUUGCACAAUGGGCGGAAGCCUGAUGCAGCAACGCCGCGUGCGGGAUGACGGCCUUCGGGUUGUAAACCGCUUUCGCCUGUGACGAAGCGUGAGUGACGGUAAUGGGUAAAGAAGCACCGGCUAACUACGUG
rnacentral:rRNA from 1 species